AGCAGCCGCGGUAAUUCCAGCUCCAAUAGCGUAUAUUAAAGUUGUUGCAGUUAAAAAGCUCGUAGUUGAAUUUCGGGAUCAGUUGGUCGGUCGUGCCUCGGUACGUACUGGUCAAAUUGAUUCCUACCUUCUGACGAACCACGAUGUCAUUAAUUUGGUGUCGCGGGAAAUCGGGACUGUUACUUUGAAAAAUUAGAGUGUUUAAAGCAGGCUCGCGCUUGAAUACAUUAGCAUGGAAUAAUGAAAUAGGACGUUUGAUUCUAUUUUGUUGGUUUCUAGGAUCGACGUAAUGAUUAAUAGGGAUAGUUGGGGGCAUUAGUAUUCAAUUGUCAGAGGUGAAAUUCUUGGAUUUAUUGAAGACUAACUACUGCGAAAGCAUUUGCCAAGGAUGUUUUCAUUAAUCAAGAACGAAAGUUAGGGGAUCGAAGACGAUCAGAUACCGUCGUAGUCUUAACCAUAAACUAUGCCGACUAGGGAUCGGAUGAUGUUAAUUUUUAAUGUACUCA
rnacentral:rRNA from 1 species